rnacentral:misc_RNA from 1 species
UCAAGUUUUAUAAACACAGCACGUGAUGAAGUAAAAGGAAUCAUAUUAAGUCUUCAACCAAGUUAGACGAUGAAGGCCUUUGCAGUGCACAACGAUAAGCCUAUCGUGUGUGGUAUGCCUAAAAACAAUACUUGUCUGUUGAAAAGGCAUUAACUUCCCUCCAUCUGUUGCAUGCCUUUCUGUUUCCAGUAACGUGAUCACCAGCAAUAUAUAACGGUUCUUUUGUAAAGUUCCACGCCGCGUGUGCGAUAUCACACUCGAAACAGCAUCAGCGCGAUCAAAAGAAAGGUCACGUGACUUUGAAAAGUCCGGAAGUGCUUGGGAAAAAAUGGAAGAUUGCUAAAAAUCUUAAAAGUUUUGCCGUAUCUGCAGGCGACAACUUAUUGGUCGACUUCGGCGACUAGCAUCGAUCUGCAACUGAGGAUAAUUCCGCCUAACAUGCGAGAUCCCGGAUUCAUAUCGGAAGAGCUGACAACACGCAGAUUGGCAGAUGCCAGUUGGGGUUUCCCCUCCUAACUUUGACAGCGCGUGCGUUUUAUCCAGACCGACUGCGGUACACAGUGGAGGAAUUCUCGUCCGUAAUCGACUUUCCCAUAACGCAUUACGGCGUGCAGCGUUUGUAUUAAGAACCCAUCUCGCUCCAGCUCUAUUUUGCGAGUGCGACUUGUUUGUUGAUUUUAUCUCAAGAAAGGCUGAUGCGCCAAGUUUGCUAUGUAUCGUGUUUUAGACGAGCCGUCGGAGGCAGGUAAACUUUGUAACCCCAGAACUGCACCGCUCUCGCUCGGCGGCGGUACCGAGCAGGGUUCGGCCAUGGAAGUUUAAAUUCCGAUUAAUUUCGAACUGCACGAGCAACGAGUGACAUACUUGUUGCUAGUACUGUAUAAAUGAGUUCGGCAUUGUCGUGGGACGGGCUUUGAGUGUGAGGCCGAGAGAAUGCCGUCUAAAAAACAGUACGACUUGGUGUCUGACGAUGGGUACGAUAGCAGAAUUCCUCUCCAUAACGAGGAUGCGUUCGAACACGGGAUUCCCUUCCAGGCCAAGUAUAUUGGCACAUUGGAUGUACCGCGUCCCAGUAGCAGGGUGGAGAUCGUCGCGGCCAUGAGAAGGAUACGGUACGAGUUCAAAGCCAAAGCCAUCAAAAAGAAGAAAGUCAUUAUAACUGUCUCUGCAGAUGGGGUCAAGGUCGUGAUGAGGAGAAAGAAACAGAAAAGUCAGUGGACGUUUGAUGAAAGUCGUCUGCUUGUAAUGCAGCAUCCUAUAUACAGGGUGUUCUACGUUUCCCACGACUCGCAGGACCUGAAGAUCUGGAGCUACAUCGCGCGUGACGGCCCCUCCAACGUCUUCAAGUGCAAUGUCUUCAAGGCUUACAAGAAGAGCCAGGCUAUGCGGAUAGUGAGGACGAUCGGCCAAGCAUUCGAGGUGUGUCACAAACUGACGAUUAGCAACCCACCACAUGGGGAGGACAGUAACAAUGAGAAGUCACCCGGAAACAGCGAGAAACAUGUCACAGAAAACUUGGAUGCAAAGGAAAAGCAGGAAAAAGAGCUGAAUAAGAAAGAAGAGGAGACAACUCUGAAUAACAAGGUGACGCCACCCACUGAUCUUGCGCUCAAACAAGCUCAGAAGUUGCUCCAGUCCAUGGGAGCCGGUACACCCACUCCCGGCGGCGGCACAACAAUCUCCUCUCCUCUCGGCUCUCCUGUUAUCCUCGGUGACUACGCUCAGGAAUCCCAGCUCCCGCUGAGUGCCCACCACCAGAUGCAGUUGCUGCGACAACAGCUAGAGCAGCAGCAGCACCAGACACAGGUGGCCAUCGCGCAGGUCCACCUCCUCAAGGAUCAGCUGUCAGCAGAGACAGCAGCGCGGAUAGAGGCUCAGGCUCGUGCUCAUCAGUUGUUAAUGCAUAAUCGCGACCUUCUGGAUCAUGUGACGCAGCUGGUGGUCAGGAUACAAGAUCUUGAGAUCAAGGUCAACGGAAUAUCCUCAAACUCGGAUGUUCUUUUUCAUACCCCACCUCAGGUCCCGAUACUGCCCGACCCAUCGACCCCUCGCCCAGGCCCUGUGUACCUCCCAGAGUUCCGCGAGGUGGACAGUUCGUACUUACAGUCGGUGUCGGACAACGCCAUGUUUGAGAACACCAAGGCCAGCCUGGACACCGAGUCUCCGGACAGCGGUCACCGCGAGAUGUCUUGCGACAGUCUCUCCUACAACCUCACGCAGGCCGAGUCCAAUGGCUGGUGCGCUUCCUACGGGAACGCUGUAGCGUCAAGCACACCAUGCAACGGAAACCCGUUCAGACAUUCGUACACGAGCAGUGACGAUGUGGGUUCAAGUAAGAAACAACGUAACGACGAUAACAUCAACAUCAUCACGCCGUGCCCGCCACAAGAUGCUAGUGGGAACAGACUGGAGCUGAAGAUCAACCUCAAUGCAAAUUCGACCCCCACGCCAAAAAUCGACCCCCCGCCGAAAUUCCGACGGACUCCGCGAGUUGGUAAUGGCUCCCAGGACCGCGACUCCCUGGUAAACAUCCCAUCAGACAGCGACUACUACUCAACGUACGCCAGCAGCGGGACCGGGACCGGACAGAAAACAUCAUCGUCGUGCGGUGGCCGAAAUAUGGCCGCGAUGACCGACGGCUAUCUGUCGCACUCUGGUCCUAGCGUGAUGCCGGCACAGAAGGUGGCCGUGAUGGACAGUUCUCAUUACUUGGACAACAACAACCGAGAUUCCAUGUGUGGCUCUCUACUUCGGAACAAGCUGGGCAUGUUCGUCAACGACUUGAGCCACGGGGGCGCCAGCAAGCAGCAACAGCAACAGCAGUUCCCUGUGAACAGCAAGUGGCACACCCGCAUGAGCUACACAUCGGACGACGCCAGCGACAACUCUGAGGAGUCGAACACAGCCUCCCAGCCCAGUCACCAACGACUCGACGCAAUGACCAUCGAGGAGUUUGAGGCACUCGGCAGUUAAUGUUGAUAAACUGUGACGUGCGAAAUCUAUUUUUAUAAUCAUUCACAUGACGGCUUGAAUUGGGUUUUCUAAAGUUAAUCACAACUUAUGGUGGGUUAGAGUUUGUGAAUUUGAGGAACCAUGUUGAAUUUAUACUGGGUAUUCUAAAAUUAAUCACAACUUAUGGUGGGUUUGAGUUUGUGACUGUGAAUUUGAGGAACCAUGUUGAAUUUAUACUGGGUUUUCUAAAGUUAAUCACAACUUAUGGUGGGUUUGAGUUUGUGAAUUUGAGGAACCAUGUUGAAUUUAUACUGGGUUUUCUAAAAUUAAUCACAACUUAUGGUGGGUUUGAGUUUGUGAAUUUGAGGAACCAUGUUGAAUUUAUACUGGGUUUUCUAAAGUUAAUCACAACUUAUGGUGGGUUUGAGUUUGUGAUUUUGAGGAACCACGUUGAGAUUAAUAAUUUCUGGGAUGCAUUGUUUGUAGUUGAUUAUUGUGCAAAUGUCACAAAUAUUUGUUACUGCAGUCACAGUGUUGUGUUGUAAAAUGUAAACAGACUGCAUCUGUUUUAAACACAAUACAGUGAAACCUGUCUAAACCUGUCUGAACAAACCAUAAACCUGUCUAAACCGGCUAAGUUUCAUUGUCUUGAAUUUUCUAAAUUCUACAACGCAACCUUCCGAACAGCAGAUCCUGUCUACAUGAGAUAAAUAUUAGGUCCCUGGCGUGAUCCGGUUGAAACCAGUUUCGCUGUAUUAUUAUGUCAUGAUAUCACCAGUUUUAACUACCUACAACAUCUAGGUGUUUGUCAUGUAUCACUUAUACAGGUAGAAAUAUCCGGUUGAAACCAGUUUCGCGGUAUUAUUAUGUCAUGAUAUCACCAGUUUGAACUACCUACAACAUCUAGGUGUUUGCCAUGUAUCACUUAUACAGGUAGAAAUAUCCGGUUGAAACCAGUUUCGCUGUAUUAUUAUGUCAUGAUAUCACCAGUUUGAACUACCUACAACAUCUAGGUGUUUGUCAUGUAUCACUUAUACAGGUAGAAAUAUCUCUCUACAAAUUAACUAACAUAAAUGUAUUGUUAAAGCAGGUGCAUGGCUAUACUAUGAGUUACACAGAUUUUCCACACAGUUCUUUUAGGAUUCUUCUUCUGUAAAAUUGAACUAGAAAAUCUUAUACAUAUUUUUUUUUUAAUCAUCCGAUUCAUUAGGCCAUGCAAAUUUACAUUCUGUUUCAGUAUUAAGUUUUUUUAUUCCUUGCACAUUUUGAUCAAAUGACACAUUGAGCCAAAUUUACAAAGCCUGUUUUAGACUUACAUGCGUGUAAUUACGUACACCUGCGUUUAAGAACAACAGGCUUCUUAAAUUUGGUGCAUUAUGUGUAACGUUUUUUAAUAUAACAAAAUGAUAAUGGGGUAGAUCUGUGUGGCAUAAAACCUUUGACAACCUUCAAAUACACAGCUCAAGUCUUCUCCAGUGUCAGAGUGACGGCUUUCAUAAUUGUAACAUCUAUAUGUGUACACAGUUAUCUGCACCUAAAUGCCAUUCUUAUCAUACUGACAAAGUUAUUGUAAUGGCCACAGUUACCUGCACCUAAUUUUCAUCUUUAGGGUAGUGACAGUAGACCUACCUUCUUAUUAUCCACAUAUUAUAACAUUGUAAUGUUAUAUCGGGUUGACUGUAUCCCCAUGUACACUAACAUUACAAUGUUAUAUCUGGUUGACUGUAUCCCCACGUACACUAACAUUACAAUGUUAUAUCUGGUUGACUGUAUCCCCACGUAAACUAACAUUACAAUGUUAUAUCGGGUUGACUGUAUCCCCACGUACACUAACAUUACAAUGUUAUAUCUGGUUGACUGUAUCCCCACGUACACUAACAUUACAAUGUUAUAUCUGGUUGACUGUAUCCCCACGUACACUAACAUUGUGUUAUAGAAUAAUGUUACACAUAACACUACAAUGUUACAUCUGGUUGAUUUCUUCCCCAACUACCUAACAUGUUAUAGAAUAAUGUUACACAUAACACUACAAUGUUACAUCUGGUUGAUUUCUUCCCCAACUACCUAACAUUAUGUGAUAGAAUAUUUGCAGCAUUCAAGAAACAAACAAAUGAAGAAGUACUCAUUAAUAUAUGUGAUGACAUAUGACUUUAUUUAGUGUCAUAUCUUAGUUCUUCAAUACUCAAAGUGAAAGUGGGGUCAGUCUGCUAUAAAUCUGAAUACAAAGUCAUUAUCUGCAAUUAAAACCAUAUCUCUGCACAAUGCAGAGUCAAAGGAGUAUUUGGUAAAAUAGUGGUUGAUUCCAGGAAUCUCUAUCUAGUGCCUCGCCACUCCCGAGGAGAUCCUUUACUGAAGAUUUCAUCCUUCCUGCACUGCUCAAAAGAGGACUGCCACUCCCAAACUAAUUAAAUACAAAACUAGUAGAGGACAGAGUUCAUUAGAAUAAAUAUAGUUGUGAUGAUGUCACUCAUGAAUCACUGUCAAAACAGUGAUGAUAUCAGGUGUCGGAGAAAGCUGAGCAUAUCCUGUCCCACCGGUGGCACCUGUGAUGAGUACUGCCACCACAGCUGUGAAACAACCUGUAAGACAUAAUUAUGGUAGGUGUCAACCUGUAACUGCUCCCGUCUGCGAGUAGAUUAACAAUUCAGGUGAUGUUCUCAGAGAUCAGUUUUAUACUGAUUAACACGUUGCAUUUUCAUUUUCACAAAUUUAAUGACAUACCAACUUUCGGUGAUCUGCUUUCGUAAACUAUAUCUGCUUUCGUCCAUCAAUGAGAUCACUUUUGUGAAAAUGAUUGCAACCAUGUCUGAUGAGACGCCUACCAAGUUCAUUAUUGCAGUUCUUUUAUCCCUUUUCUUUCUCUCCUUUGAAAUCCAGCAGAUGUCUUCUCAAUCUGGCAGCUCUUCCUAUCGUUUCAACUUUAGUCACUGUCCAUCUCCACAUCCAUGUCCUUGUCUCUUCAACUGAAACAGGUAUCUUGUGGCCAUCCCUGCCACAUACCUGCCAUUUCCUAUAAGCUGUAGGUGUGGGUUUAGUGUGAACACUUUCUGAAGCGGUACCUUCUGGCAUUGUUAAGAGGCACUGGGAACCACUUGCUAUACUCACCUACUACCAGCAGUUGUUAGUGUAGUGGCUAAGAUCAGCUUUAUUACCAGGUGGGUGCAGUAUACACUUAUACUAACUGUUAAGAACUGAAGAUCAGGCUGUGUAAAUCGGACUUCGAACAGUUUGUAAUAGCUUGAGUGCAGACAAAAUGUUUUACAUGUACAUGUAUAAGCAUGAGCCAGAGCUUCACAUUAACCAGGAUUGAAGCCAUCACAGUCAGACAUGUAAAAUGAUAAGACUGAUGGAUUGAUGGAUAGGUGUUCUUCCCACCAAGUCAUUUUACAUUUUAUUAGAAAUGUGAAAUGUUCAAUGAAUGCUCGGAAUGACUUGGGUGUCAAAUAAUAAUUUGAAAUGAAAUCCUGCUUUUGUAAAUAUACCAUACAGACUGAAUCACUACGAUAUAACACGGCUCAAUCCCUCCAGGUUAUUUGCUCGUUAUAGUUUAUUUUUACAAAUUAGUGUUACCACAAUGUAAAUAUUUAUUACUCAUAGUUUAAUGUACAACCUUUGUGUUUUAACAUUUAGUUCAUAAUAACUACGUUUUACAGAGUACAAAUUGUAAAUAAAUAUUAAUAUACACAUGCAAGCAGUUUGCUGUUUUACAAGUGUAAGGUGUAAAUAAAUGUUGAUACACAUGCAGAACGUUUGGUACAUUUUGUGGGUUGCAGACCAUGUUUUGUGUAUAGCUGUGUUUCUAGCAGUAUAUUCUAACUUGCAAGUUAGUUAAAUAGCACCUGUUACUAAUGGUUUUAUACCUGUUGCUAAUGAUAUUAUACCUAUUCAUAUAUUAAUGGUAUUCUACCCAUUAAAAGUGGUAUUAUACCUGUUUGCUUUGGUAAUAUAACCUUUCAUAAUGGUAUUAUGCCUUUUCAUUAAUUAGUGGUAUUUUACCUGUUAAAAAUGGUAUUCUACCUAUUCACAGUGGUAUUAUAACCAUUCAUAGUGGUAUUAUACCUUAAUUAAUGGUAUUCCACCUGUUAAAAUGGUGUUAUACCUUUCACAGUGGUAAUAUAACAUUUCAUAAUGGUAUUACAUCUGUUCAUGUUGAUAUUAUUCUUGUUCAUAAUGGUAUUAAACAUGUUCAUAAUUGUGUUAUACCAAUCUGCAAUGGCAUUAUGGCUGUUUCUAAUUGUAAUAUAUCUGGUAUAAAACCUGCUCUUAGUGAUAUUUAUUACAUAUGUCCAUAAUGACAUUAUUCCACUUUAUAUCGUCUUCAGUACUUGCAAAAUCAAGACAAGCUGAAGAUCACACUCCUGAAAUGGUUCCAGGUGAGGGAUCACUUGAAGUUUCCAAUCAAAUGUCUUGAAACGUUUACUAUGGUUCCAGGUGAGUGAUCACGUCAAGUUUCCAAUCAAAUGUCUUGAAACGUUUACUAUGGUUCCAGGUGAUGGAUCACUUGAAGUUUCCAAUCAAAUGUCUUGAAACAUUUACUAUGGUAAGUGUUGAGAGUACUGUGUGGAGAGGAACGUGACUGGUCACUCUCCUAAAACGUUACCGGGCAAGUGUUGAGAGUACUGUAUGGAGAGGAACGUGACUGGUCACUCGCCUAAAGCGUUACCGGGCAAGUGUUGAGAGUACUGUAUGGAGAGGAACGUGACUGGUCACUCACCUAAAGCGUUACCGGGCAAGUGUUGAGAAUACUGUAUGGAGAGGAACGUGACUGGUCACUCGCCUAAAGCGUUACCGGGCAAGUGUUGAGAGUACUGUGUGGAGAGGAACGUGACUGGUCACUCGCCUAAAGCGUUACCAGGCAAGUGUUGAGAAUACUGUGUGGAGAGGAACGUGACUGGUCACUCGCCUAAAGUGUUACCAGGCAAGUGUUGAGAGUACUGUUUGGAGAGGAAUGUCACUGGUCACUCACCUAAAACGUUACCAGGCAAGUGUUGAGAGUACUGUAUGGAGAGGAACGUCACUGGUCACUCACCUAAAACGUUACCAGGCAAGUGUUGAGAGUACUGUGUGGAGAGGAACGUCACUGGUCACUCACCUAAAACGUUACCAGGCAAGUGUUGAGAGUACUGUGUGGAGAGGAACGUCACUGGUCACUCGCCUUUAAUGUGAAACACUUGCAUCCUCAAAGUCGUCAUUGUUGUAUAAAACGUUUGUUUAAUAAAUAUUUAAACUUUUCACAGAAAGUUAGCAAAUAAUAUAUUAUAUUGUAUAAUGAGUUUAAAGCAAAACGACAAAACUGUAAUCUCUGAUCAAAAUCGUAUCCCUACACAAAACAGAGUUGAAAGGAUGUUAAUGAACAUGAUGGUAUAAAUAUUGCAAAUGUUAACCUAGCAGACUACGUUUUCAUUUCAAAUAUAUCGACUUCCAGUUUAACUGUUUUGCUUCAUGAUUCUCAUUAUGUGCUACAAAAAUACUUGACAAAUGGUGCUACUGUUGUUAUUUAGAUCUUUAUUUUACGAUGUGUUAACUGUUAGCGUUUUCUUGCAUGUCAGGUUAGAUCAAGUGUUAGACACUCAAUGUUUCAAAUCUUUCAGUCUCCAUUGUUAACAUGGUUUUGUAUGCAUAGCUAACAUACAGGAGAACGUGAAAUCCUGUUUGGAAUAAAUGAUUGAAUUUC